rnacentral:lncRNA from 1 species
GAUAAUAACAAAAAAAAAUUUUAAUUAAUUUUAUAUUUUUUAAUAAAUAAAAAAAUAUACUAUCAAUCUUAAUUAUAGUAUAUAUUAAAGUACACAAGCUAGAGAAAAAAAAAUUGGAUCAAACAGUAAGAUCAACUAAACUUUUAUAUUUGACACAAAUUAGAUUAAGCACACAUAUAUUAUGUUUCUACUGUCGCUUUUAAGACUCAAAAAUAUAUAGAUGUUGGUUUUCAAGAAAAUAUAAAGAAAAAAAUAAAAACUUUGUUGCAUGAAGAUGAAAAGUUACAUAAGUGACAGAAGGAAAAAAAAAUUACGAAAUGAAAAUUACAAAAGUGACAGUAGGGAAAUAAUAUGUUCUAUUUUAAAUCAUCAAUAUUUAAGAGCGAAAAAAAUUACAGGAGUUAUGUGAGUUUUAAAUUUUUUUUCUCUUUCCAAAAAUGCCUCUAUCAUUUUUUACUAAUAUUUUUAUGUCCAAAAAUUUUCAACCAAUCAUUUUAAAUAAUUAACUAAGUAAUAAUUUAUUCCCAAAUAAAGAUAAAUAUUUUUCUUCUCACGCGUAAUAUCCGCACCGCCAAUUCUUUCGCAACAUAAUAUUCAUAAAUUUUAUCAAAUAUCUCAACAUAAUUAUAGGUGACUUUGAAAUAAAAUCUCCUUCAUUAUAUGUGAUUUUUAAUAAUAUAGUAAAAGAUAUUAAUUUUUUAUAAAAACGUGAGUUUUGAAUUUUUUUCUUUCCAAAAAUGUCUCUAUUCUUUUUUACUAAUAUUUUUAUGUACAGAAAUUUUCAACCAAUCAUUUCAAAUAAUUAAUUAAGUAGUAAUUUAUUCCCAAAUAAAGAUAAAUAUUUUUCUUCUCACGCAUAACCGGUCAAUUUUUUUGCCACAUAAUAUCCGUGAAUUUUUUAAAUAUCUCAACAUAAUUAUAGGUGACUUUGAAAUAAUUUCUCCUUCAUUAUAGGUGAUUUUUAAUAAUAUAGCAAAAGAUAUUAAUUUUUUGCCAUUAGAUCUUAUCUAAUGAUUGAAAAUAAAAAUAUCUGUUAAUUUUUGUGACAAUAUUACCCUCGCAUUUAUAUCCUAUUUUCUAUCUUUUCUAAAAUAAAAUAUCUAUAUUUUAACUUGACAAAUAGAUUAUUUUUCCUAAAGCAGUAAUAUCCGCACCUGCCAAUUCUUUCGCGUAAAUUUCUCAAAUAUCUCAACAUAAUUAUAGGUGACUUUGAAAUAAAAUCACCUUCAUUCAUUAUAAGUGAUUUUUAAUAAUAUUGUAAAAGAUACAUAUUCCCUAAAGUAGUAAUAUCCACACAACAUAAUUAUAGGUGACUUUGAAAUAUUCCCUAAAAUAGAAAAUCUAUAUUUGAGUAGAUUUUCUAUAUAGUAAAAAAUAUUAUUUUCUUAAAAAAUCUAUUUUUUUUUCUAAAAUAAAAAAUCUGUAUUUGAGCUUGACACGUGGCAAACUAUAAAGCGCCACCAUAAUUAUAGGUGACUUUGAAAUAUUCCCUAAAAUAGAAAAUCUAUAUUUGAGUAGAUUUUCUAUAUAGUAAAAGAUAUUAUUUUCUUAAAAAAUUUAUUUUUUUUUUUAAAAUAAAAAAUUUGUAUUUGAGCUUGACACGUGGCAAACAUAUAAAGCGCCACGUGUCAGCUUUUCACAUAGGGUUCAUUAAGGAUUCUACUUUAGUAUAUAGUAAUAGAAGAUAGAUAAUUUAAAUAAAAUAUCCAAAAUUUUAAAUAUUAGUAGGUAAAUUUGACAUAACUUUUAUAUAUUUUGCUUUAAAAAAAUAUGAUUUAAUAUUAUAUAUGCGGAAGGUAUUAUGUAAUUGGAUAUUAUAUNGCGAAUAUUAUUUGUGAUAAAAUAUGAUAUAUGUGGACGACGGUUAUUAGAAGAUAUGACAUGCAUAUAAAAAGUGAAAUUGGAUACGCACUAUUUGAGGGCAAUUUAGAUAAAAAAAAGUGACAGAUAUUUUGUAUUCGUCAGUCAAUUAGAUUUAUUGACUAAAAAUUAAUAUAUUUUAUAAUAAUUUAAAUAAAAUAUCCAAUAUUUUAAAUUUGAGAUAACUUUUAUAUAUUCUGCUUUAAAAAAAUAUAAUUAAAUAUUAUAUAUGUUAAUAUAUUUUAUAAUAUUUUAAAUAAAAUAUCCAAUAUUUUAAAUAUUAGUAGGUAAAAGCACGGAUAACUUUUAUAUAUUUCAAAUAAUUCGUAACCAAAUAUCCAUAUUUGAGUUUGACACGUGGCAAGCAUAUAGAAAGCCACGUGUCGGCUUCUCACAUAAGGUUCAUUAAGGGUUCUACUUUUAUAUAUAGUAAUAGAUAUAUGUAUAUAACAAUUUCUUCUCCAAUCAAUAUUAACUAAAUAAAGAUAAUAUCAUACAUUUAUAAUUUAGAAUAAGUCCUUCAAUUUUAAUUUCUAAUUAAAAAUUUAUUUAUAAAAUA